rnacentral:rRNA from 1 species
UACGUAGGUGGCAAGCGUUGUCCGGAAUUAUUGGGCGUAAAGCGCGCGCAGGCGGUCCUUUAAGUCUGAUGUGAAAGCCCACGGCUCAACCGUGGAGGGUCAUUGGAAACUGGGGGACUUGAGUGCAGGAGAGAAGAGUGGAAUUCCACGUGUAGCGGUGAAAUGCGUAGAGAUGUGGAGGAACACCGGUGGCGAAGGCGGCUACCUGGACCGGUACUGACGCUGAGGCGCGAAAGCUAGGGUAGCAAACAGG